rnacentral:rRNA from 1 species
UACCUGCAGCUCGAGUGGUGGCCGCUAUUAUUGGGCCUAAAACGUCCGUAGCCGGUCUUAUAAAUGCCUGGGUAAAUCGUGCCGCUUAACGGUACGAAUUCCGGGUAGACUGUAAGACUUGGGACCGGGAGAGGCUAGAGGUACUCCUGGGGUAGAGGUGAAAUUCUGUAAUCCUGGGGGGACCACCAGUGGCGAAGGCGUCUAGCUAGAACGGGUCUGACGGUGAGGGACGAAGCCCUGGGGCGCAAACCGGAUUAGAUACCCGCGUA